GUAUGUGACUCAGUGGUAGAGUGCUUGCCUCUCAUGUUCAAGGUCCUGGAUUCCAUCCCCAGUACCACA
rnacentral:tRNA from 1 species